AUACGUAGGGGGCGAACGUUGUCCGGAAUGAUUGGGCGUAAAGGGCGCGUAGGCGGCGCGGUAAGUCUGGAGUGAAAGUCCUGCUUUCAAGGUGGGAAUUGCUUUGGAUACUGCCGCGCUUGAGUGCAGGAGAGGCUAUCGGAAUUCCUGGUGUAGCGGUGAAAUGCGUAGAGAUCGGGAGGAACACCAGUGGCGAAGGCGGGUAACUGGACUGCAACUGACGCUGAGGCGCGAAAGUGUGGGGAGCAAACAGGAUUAGAUACCCUGGUAGUCCACACUGUAAACGAUGAAUGCUAGGUGUAAGAGGUAUCGACCCCUUUUGUGCCGGAGUCAACACAAUAAGCAUUCCGCCUGGGGAGUACGGCCGCAAGGUUGAAACUUAAAGGAAUUGACGGGG
rnacentral:rRNA from 1 species